rnacentral:rRNA from 1 species
UACAGGGGGGGUAAGCGUUGUUCGGAAUUACUGGGCGUAAAGGGCUCGUAGGCGGCCAACUAAGUCAUACGUGAAAUCCCUCAGCUUAACUGGGGAACUGCGUGUGAUACUGGAUGGCUUGGAUUUGGGAGAGGGAUGCGGAAUUCCAGGUGUAGCGGUGAAAUGCGUAGAUAUCUGGAGGAACACCGGUGGCGAAGGCGGCAUCCUGGACCAAUAUUGACGCUGAGGAGCGAAAGCCAGGGGAGCAAACGGG